rnacentral:lncRNA from 1 species
GCUACAUUAUAUUCUGAAGGAACAACUAACCGAGGAGUACAUGUCCAAGGUUUUGCAAGAAAGGAAAAGCAAAAGGAGGCAGGCUUGGCAUGCAGCAGCUCUCUGGAAUGCUCACAAGUGCCUAAAAUAAUUCAGUAAGAAGCUCAUUGUGUGUGCUCGCUACAUCUGGAAAAUGCUUGUAUUAGGGGUGUGUUGAAAAGGAAUCAACCUAAGAGCUGAAGGAAGCUGAAAACUGGCUGAUUUUUCAUGUGGGGCAUUUUCUGACUUUGCUGAAUGUCUUCUUGCUGAAGAAAUGUCUGGCAGCAAAAAAAGCAUCAGCACCUAUAUGUAAAGAUGAGGAAACUGAAGCAAACAGGAGUAAAUGACUUACACAGGAUCACCACCAAACCAUAUUAUUUCAUCAUAUUCAUUUACCAUGACUUCAGCCAUUCCUCAACUGCUGGGCAUCCUCUUACUUUUUAGGUUUUGCCACUACAAAAAAGAGCUGGUAUAAAUAUAUAUUUUUUUGCCUAAAGUAAGUGCCUUUUCCU